UACGGGGGGAGCAAGCGUUGUUCGGAUUUACUGGGCGUAACGGGCGCGUAGGCGGCCACCGCAAGUCAGUUGCGAAAUCUCUGGGCUUAACCCAGAACGGUCAGCUGAUACUGCGGGGCUAGAGUGCAGAAGGGGCAACUGGAAUUCUCGGUGUAGCGGUGAAAUGCGUAGAUAUCGAGAGGAACACCUGCGGCGAAGGCGGGUUGCUGGGCUGACACUGACGCUGACAGCGCGAAAGCUAGGGGAGCGAACGGG
rnacentral:rRNA from 1 species